rnacentral:tRNA from 1 species
GCUGGUGUGGCUCAGCGGAUAGAGUGUCAGUCUGCAGACUGAAGGGUCCCGGGUUUGAUUCCUGUCAAGGGCA